rnacentral:rRNA from 1 species
AGUGAACGCUGGCGGUAGGCCUAACACAUGCCAGUCGAACGGCAGCACAGUAAGAGCUUGCUCUUACGGGUGGCGAGUGGCGGACGGGUGAGGAAUACAUCGGAAUCUACUUUUUCGUGGGGGAUAAUGUAGGGAAACUUACGCUAAUACCGCAUACGACCUACGGGUGAAAGCAGGGGAUCUUCGGACCUUGCGCGAUUGAAUGAGCCGAUGUCGGAUUAGCUAGUUGGCGGGGUAAAGGCCCACCAAGGCGACGAUCCGUAGCUGGUCUGAGAGGAUGAUCAGCCACACUGGAAUUGAGACACGGUCCAGACUCCUACGGGAGGCGGCAGUGGGGAAUAUUGGACAAUGGGCGCAAGCCUGAUCCAGCCAUACCGCGUGGGUGAAGAAGGCCUUCGGGUUGUAAAGCCCUUUUGUUGGGAAAGAAAAGCAGCAGGUUAAUACCCCGCUGUUCUGACGGUACCCAAAGAAUAAGCACCGGCUAACUUCGUG